rnacentral:lncRNA from 1 species
GGGGCCCUUGUUUCACUCCAGGCUUCUGGGUCCUCCUCUGGCCUCCUCCCACGCUCCCUCCCCAUGGGCAGCACCCUGGCCCACUCGUGGGCUCUCUGCGUGCAGAGCAGGGCCGGCUGCUCCCUCUUUCUGCACCUCCCCGCUCCUCUGCCUGCAGCCUCGGCUCUCGGCUCCAGCAGCUUCCUCGGCCAUGGACUGAUACCCAAUUUGGAGUCCACGAGCUCCUCGGCUCCUUUGAAUGAUGACCUUGCGUGGUGGUGACACCCACGUCUCUGCACAUGAGCAAUUAGCUUUUUGAGCCCAAUCAAGAGGGAAUUGUUCUGUGUGUACGUUUUGUCAGAUUCGCGCCUUUGUUCUGGCUUGUUGGGAUUCUCUUGGCUUUUGUCUCUGGCACCUGCAGAAGCCUCUAAGCUUUCGGCAUCCCAUCAACGGCAAAUUUGGAAAGUCGGCAUCUCACCCAUCCUCUCUCUGACCACUGGAAAAAACUGGGUCAAGGCCAGAGCGUUGUUGUUCCAUUAAUGAGCGUACUUUGGGUAUGACCUCGACACACGUUUUAGUGGUUGAUCAUUAUUUAGGAAGAAAUGUGUGCUCCUUGUAGAAGAUUUGGAAGAUGUAGGAAAACAUGAAGGAGAACAGAAAAGGCACUGUUGGAAUUUUAGCCCCUUCUUCGUGGUAUGUAUGUGUGCUGUCUGAUACGGUGGCUACUAACCACAUGUGGCUAUCGAGCACGUGAAAUCAUGGUUUGUCCAAGUUGAGAUGAACAAUAAGUGCAAAAUACACACUGCAAGUUGAAGCCUCAGCAUGAAAAAUUGUAGGGUAAAGCUGCCACCUGCAGUGCCGGAAUCCCAUAUGGGCAUCGGUUAGAGUCCUGGCUGCUUCCAUCUGUUGGUUCACUCCCCAAAUGGCUACAAUGGCCAGAGUUGGGCCAGGCUGAAAUCAGAAGCCUGAAACUUCUUCUGUCCAUCCGGUUCUCCUACAUGGGUGCAGGGGCCCAAGGACUUGGCCAUCAUCUGCUGCUUUCCCAGGUACAUUAGCAGCGAGCUGAAUGGGAAGUGGAGCAGCAGGGACUCGAACCAGCACCCAUAUGGGAUGGUGGUGAUGCAGGUGGUGGCUUAACCCACUGCACCACAAUUCUCACCAUGUUUAUGAAUUUUUAACUCAUGGUUAUGUUACGAAUCUUUUCCUAAGUCAAAAACAUUUAACAUAAUCUGUUGUGAUUGGAGAUACUCAGUGAGAUGAACACACUGAGUGUUCCCUCCUUUUAUCUGGUAGAAUUUGGAUGAUGGCUCUUCACAUCCGGUUGGAUUUUUGAUUUUGCAUGUUAUAGUUUCAUUGCAGAGAAUAAUAAAAGUGACUCCUACAAUUCCUACUUUUUGGAU